AAGCGUGUAGCUCAGUGGAUAGAGCAUCAGAUUCCGAUUCUGAAUGUCAAGGGUUCAAUUCCCUUCAUGCUUA
rnacentral:tRNA from 1 species